GCCAAAUGCCCAAGGCCCUCAGUGCCUGAUGCGGCGUGUAAGACGCCAGAGGUUGACCCUCAGAUCUCACAGUUCCUGACAAAAAACGGGCUGGAAACCCAGAAAGGGUUUGGAGUUUUCACUCCAUAAUUGCCAGGACAAGAUUUUGGACACUCUAGGUCCCGUGACUAAGCUUUAUGAGCUAUUGGAGACGGCUAAAACAGGGGAUACCCC